UUUUUUCUUUGUGUUUUUUUGGACAGUUGAUUUUUGUAUGUUUGGACAAUGUGCUUUGAACAGGCAGCCAAACUUGUGCAUACUGAUGGCUUAUUCUUUCCUGGUUGCUACAAACAAAGAACAGCACAGCUGAAUGUAUUCAUGUUUGAAGUCGCCAGCAUCUCUUUGAUUUCUGGACUCCUCAGCCAGUGUACUAAAAAGUGGCAGCAAAUUGGCACAUAGAAAAUUUGCAAUGCUCAGUUUAGUGCAACUCCUUAAUUACCACAGAAAAUGAGACUUAAAUCUUGGGGUGAAGCUGCAAGCUACAUAUGUCACAUAGCCAAGAAAAAUGUGAUAAUCGUGAGAAACUAAGGAAAGUCUGCAAUGGGAUGUAUGACAGCAAGGAAAGGACUUCAUUAACCUCAAGUUCCAC